GCAAACCUAACGUAAAUUAAUAAAACUAGGUACAUUUCGUGUAGCCUCAAAGGUAGUUUCAUCAACGAUUUAGAGACCCGCCUGAUAUCAAGGCUGCUCCAGCAUUUCGUUUUGAUUGGCUGCUGGUUGAUCACUCCUCAUCCUCCUUAUCAACCAUUAUCUGCAAUACGUUCCGUAUCGCUUGAAAGCUGUUUUCAUGUUAUGCAAAUUAUAUUGCGUAAAUUUAUAAAAGUGAUGAAUAAAAAUCUUAUUUCGAUCCUUCGCGAAUAGUUGCUGAAUUUUUAUGAAAUUCGUUCUGCGAAACUUUUUUUUUCAUUUGGUAGAAGAUGACCCUAAAAAAAUGAUAAAUUAAUAUUAAUAAUAAUAUUUCAUAAAAAUUAUGUUAUGCUUCAGUUUCAUUUUCGAGUAAUCUACUCUAUUGUUUGGUAUUGACACCGGAAAGUUAAUUCCAAAGAAGCACAUAUCCCCACACUCAAGACCCGUUAAUUCAUUACAAUAUCAGUAUCCUCAGAUAUGUGGAUAGAAUAUUAUCGUUAUUAAUAUUUCCCCGCCGGCAUGUUUGAUUUCUUCUGAAUUACGUAUCUAAUCCUGACAUGGUACGAAAAAAUAAAGUGCAACACCAAAUGUAACCGAGCUUUUCGUACUGAUUACAAUUAGUACACAUUAAAUUUUGUAAUGUCGUUCUUAUCAAGAAUGUUUUUGCACAGACGAUAUAGCCUGUCUUUCAAACUCAACAAUGAUUGCAAAAUGUAGAAAUGCCAGUACAUACAUUCUUAUCCAAUCUUAAUAACUUAAGUGAUGAUCGAACAACGAUUAGUAAUAAAUUAAUUUUUAUUCUACAUAUGACUUUUAAAGAACUGAAUUUAAUAUAUCUGAUUAUGAUUUGGUGGUAUACUUGUAGGAAUAUUUAUACAUAUAAAUGAUUGGGUCUCACCACACAGGUGUAAGUUAUUUAUAUCAUCAACGAAACUGUUUAUCAUGCAUUUGAUAUAUCAAGUACAUGCUUUUCUUCGAUGUACUCAUUCAACAAGUUACAUAGUGUUAUGUAUUAUUAUACAUAAUAUUUACGCAGAUGAAACAGUUAUCAAUAAUGAUAAUAAGCUCUUACAGUAUUUUGUAUAAUUAAUUGUAGUUUAACAAGAAUGCACAUCGUCAUAUUGAACUCGGGAUCGAAGAAAUUGGCCAGAAAAAAUGUUAUAUUAUAAUAUUAAUCUUUCUUACAUCGCUGUCUUUAAUAUAAACUUAACAAUAUUUAGUCAUGCAAGGAAGUUCAUCGCAUUGUAUUAUCAGUAUAAUUACUUGUUUACCCUUAACGCUCAAUCUAUCUUAUAAUGAAGUCUAGUUCAACUCGUUUGUAUUGUCAAUGUUUAACCAGAUCGAUUAGUAAAUAGUGUAGCGAUGUGUACAUUGACAUUAACGUAUGACUACUACUUGAAUUUUAGAUUACAUAAAUAUACGCCUUAGUGGAUAUAAAGAUUGAAAGAAAAUCGUAAUCUCAGCAUUGACGUAUUCGCUAUCUAUCAAAACAUCGUAAUAAUUUCUUAUUUGAUAUUAGAGUAGCACUUUUUUGGCUUUAUACAUGUUUCAGCUGUUGGUCCAGCCCGACAAUUGUAUUUUGUUUAAAAUACAAUGAUCCUCAUGGAUGUGUAACAUUUAGACAUUGAAAUUGAAUAGCUUAUACCUAUUUAGAAAUGAGCUGCAAGUGUGAGAAUUUUGAUCGAAAUCUUGAUCGGCGGUAAUAUUAAUCGUAUAAACAAAACGUUGAAUGCAAACUUAACUACAACAAGGUAACAAUUUAAAACUUCUAUGCUCGUAUCAUUUUACUUCUUAUUUUUUUCUGUUCACUUUCAACUUUGUAUAAAAUCAUAUUCGCUAAAGAAAAUGAAAAAAAAAAUAAGAUACAAAACUAUACAUCUUUUUAUAGUGUAUGCAUGUACGACUAUUAAACAAACAGGAAUAAUAAAUCGAAAACAAUAUUUAAAAUAUAAAAAGGGCCUAUUUUAAUGGUGUAAUACCCUGUGAUAAUUGAUGUCUGCAUUAUUAUGGCAAUACUGACCUAUCUAUGAUUGCGUUUAUAUGAACAAGCAAUUAAAUUAUUCGUUUACUCCUUUGCAAAUAAUAAUCAUCGUAGACGUCCAGCUCUUGCAUCAGUUACAGCACCCCAUAAUUCGAUAACAAAAUCA